GUUCCUGUAGCGUAAUGAACAGCGCAUUGGACUUCUAAUCCAGAGGUCGUGGGUUCGAAUUCCACCUGGGAUG